ACAUGCAAGUCGAGCGGAAACGAUACCAGCUUGCUGGUAGGCGUCGAGCGGCGGACGGGUGAGUAAUACUUAGGAAUCUACCUAGUAGUGGGGGAUAGCUCGGGGAAACUCGAAUUAAUACCGCAUACGUCCUACGGGAGAAAGGGGGCAACUUGUUGCUCUCGCUAUUAGAUGAGCCUAAGUCGGAUUAGCUAGAUGGUGGGGUAAAGGCCUACCAUGGCGACGAUCUGUAGCUGGUCUGAGAGGAUGAUCAGCCACACCGGGACUGAGACACGGCCCGGACUCCUACGGGAGGCAGCAGUGGGGAAUAUUGGACAAUGGGGGAAACCCUGAUCCAGCCAUGCCGCGUGUGUGAAGAAGGCCUUUUGGUUGUAAAGCACUUUAAGCAGUGAAGAAAGACCUAACGGUUAAUACCCGUUAGCGAUGACAUUAGCUGCAGAAUAAGCACCGGCUAACUCUGUGCCAGCAGCCGCGGUAAUACAGAGGGUGCAAGCGUUAAUCGGAAUUACUGGGCGUAAAGCGAGCGUAGGUGGCUUGAUAAGUCAGAUGUGAA
rnacentral:rRNA from 1 species